AUGKKUGGGUUUAAAUUCCGAAAGCCAACGCGAAGAACCUUACCAGGCCUUGACAUGCAGAGAACUUUCCAGAGAUGGAUUGGUGCUUCGGGAACUCUGACACAGGUGCUGCAUGGCUGUCGUCAGCUCGUGUCGUGAGAUGUUGGGUUAAGUCCCGUAACGAGCGCAACCCUUGUCCUUAGUUACCAGCACAUUAUGGUGGGCACUCUGAGGAGACUGCCGGUGACAAACCGGAGGAAGGUGGGGAUGACGUCAAGUCAUCAUGGCCUUACGGCCUGGGCUACACACGUGCUACAAUGGUCGGUACAGAGGGUUGCCAAGCCGCGAGGUGGAGCUAAUCUCACAAAACCGAUCGUAGUCCGGAUCGCAGUCUGCAACUCGACUGCGUGAAGUCGGAAUCGCUAGUAAUCGCGAAUCAGAAUGUCGCGGUGAAUACGUUCACGGGGUUUGUACACACCGCCCGUCA
rnacentral:rRNA from 1 species